rnacentral:rRNA from 1 species
GAAACGAUCGCUAAUACCGCAUGACAUAGCGAAACCGCAUGGUUUUGCUAUCAAAGAUUUAUCGCUGAUAGAUGGGCUCGCGUCCGAUUAGAUAGUUGGUGAGGUAACGGCUCACCAAGUCGACGAUCGGUAGCCGGACUGAGAGGUCGAACGGCCACAUUGGGACUGAGACACGGCCCAGACUCCUACGGGAGGCAGCAGUGGGGGAUAUUGCACAAUGGGGGAAACCCUGAUGCAGCGACGCCGCGUGAGGGAAGACGGUCCUCUGGAUUGUAAACCUCUGUCUUCGGGGACGAAACGAGACGGUACCCGAGGAGGAAGCCACGGCUAACUACGUGCCAGCAGCCGCGGUAAUACGUAGGUGGCAAGCGUUGUCCGGAAUUACUGGGUGUAAAGGGAGCGUAGGCGGGCAGGCAAGUCAGGCGUGAAAUAUAUCGGCUCAACCGGUAUCUGCGCUUGAAACUGCAGGUCUUGAGUGAAGUAGAGGUUGGCGGAAUUCCUAGUGUAGCGGUGAAAUGCGUAGAUAUUAGGAGGAACACCAGUGGCGAAGGCGGCCAACUGGGCUUUUACUGACGCUGAGGCUCGAAAGUGUGGGGAGCAAACAGGAUUAGAUACCCUGGUAGUCCACACCGUAAACGAUGAUUACUAGGUGUGGGGGGACUGACCCCUUCCGUGCCGGAGUUAACACAAUAAGUAAUCCACCUGGGGAGU